rnacentral:rRNA from 1 species
AUGAUUGACCGGAGAUGUAGAAGUUUUCUGUGGAAAGGAGAGGAGGACAUCAAUGAAGGGCAUUGUUUAGUACCAUGGGCCAGAGUCUGUAGACCAAAAGAAUGGGGCGGGCUCGGUCUUCUCAAUCUGAAGAAUUUUGGGACUGCUCUGAGAUGCCGUUGGCUUUGGCUGGGCUGGAGUCAAGGGAAUCGACCAUGGCAGAUGCUUCCGGAUCAGCAGGACAAGGAGGCAGCUGCUAUGUUC